rnacentral:lncRNA from 1 species
UUGUAACCUACAGUGGCCAGUCAAAAAUAGGAUUGGACUUGAACUCAUUUCCAACUAACAUAACUAUCUCUAACUAAUUAAGUCACUCCUAACUAACUGAGUUAUUAAUUAACUCAGUGAGUCAAUAUUAACUAACUCCAAGCCUUCCCUAACUGAAUCCAAUCCUAAUCCCAAACCUAUCUAAAUCCAAACCUAAUGCUUAUUUAAUCACAUUCAUCAUCCUCAUUUGAAGACCCUUGGAACCUUACGAAUUUGUG